rnacentral:rRNA from 1 species
AGCAGCCGCGGUAAUUCCAGCUCCAAUAGCGUAUAUUAAAGUUGUUGCAGUUAAAAAGCUCGUAGUUGAAUUUCGGGGUCAGUAGGCUGGUCGUGCCCCCGGUACGUACUGGUCUCACUGAUUCCUCCUUCCUGAAGAACCGUAAUGCCAUUAAUUUGGUGUUGCGGGGAAACAGGACUGUUACUUUGAAAAAAUUAGAGUGUUUAAAGCAGGCUAACGCUUGAAUACAUUAGCAUGGAAUAAUGAAAUAGGACGGUCGAUCCUAUUUUGUUGGUUUCUAGGAUUGACGUAAUGAUUAAUAGGGAUAGUUGGGGGCAUUAGUAUUCAAUUGUCAGAGGUGAAAUUCUUGGAUUUAUUGAAGACUAACUACUGCGAAAGCAUUUGCCAAGGAUGUUUUCAUUAAUCAAGAACGAAAGUUAGGGGAUCGAAGACGAUCAGAUACCGUCGUAGUCUUAACCAUAAACUAUGCCGACUAGGGAUCGGAUGAUGUUAAUUUUAUAAUGACUCAUUCGGCGCCUUA